rnacentral:rRNA from 1 species
UACAGAGGGUGCGAGCGUUGUUCGGAAUUACUGGGCGUAAAGCGCGCGCAGGCGGCCUUUUAAGUCUGACGGUGAAAUGCCGGGGCUCAACCCCGUGCCCGCCGCGGAUACUGGGAGGCUGGAGACAUGUAGAGGCAAGCGGAAUUCCGCGUGUAGCAGUGAAAUGCGUAGAUAUGCGGAGGAACACCGAUGGCGAAGGCAAUCCCCUGGACCUGUACUGACGCUCAUGCACGAAAGCGUGGGGAGCAAACAGG